CCUACGGGCGGCAGCAGUGGGGUAUAUUGCACAAUGGGCGCAAGCCUGAUGCAGCGACGCCGCGUGAGGGAUGGAGGCCUUCGGGUUGUAAACCUCUUUCGCCAGUGAAGCAGGCCUGUCCCUUGUGGGUGGGUUGACGGUAGCUGGAUAAGAAGCGCCGGCUAACUACGUGCCAGCAGCCGCGGUAAUACGUAGGGCGCGGGCGUUGUCCGGAAUUAUUGGGCGUAAAGAGCUCGUAGGCGGCUGGUCGCGUCUGUCGUGAAAUCCUCUGGCUUAACUGGGGGCUUGCGGUGGGUACGGGCCGGCUUGAGUGCGGUAGGGGAGACUGGAACUCCUGGUGUAGCGGUGGAAUGCGCAGAUAUCAGGAAGAACACCGGUGGCGAAGGCGGGUCUCUGGGCCGUUACUGACGCUGAGGAGCGAAAGCGUGGGGAGCGAACAGGAUUAGAUACCCGAGUAGUC
rnacentral:rRNA from 1 species